rnacentral:antisense_RNA from 1 species
CAGGAGGGGGUGAGGGAUAAGACUACACAUAAGGUAGAGUUCAUACACAUGAGGAAUAAGACUACGCAUAAGGUAGAGUUCAUACUGCUCAGGUGACAGGUGCACCAAAAUCUCAGAAAUCACCACUGAAGAACUUAUUCUGAAAGCUUAGCUGAUUCUGUAUGAACUUCUACAACAUCACUACUCAGUAGAACUUUGUAUUACACAAACCAAUUAUUACUAGGCCGCUUUCCCCGUAACUCAAUUCUGUCUAUGGACUCACUUGGAGUGGAGUGGAACAGUUGAUUAAACUGCUUAUAGGAUUUUCUCAGAUGUUCAUAUAUGUAAUUCAUACACUCAAAUCUCUGAACAAGUAAUACCUUCCUAUGUACAAUUAUAUAACUAUAUUUGUAUUUUUGGAUUGGCAGGCAAAUGAAUAAAAGAACAUCUUUUAUUUACCCGUA